rnacentral:rRNA from 1 species
UACAGAGGUCUCAAGCGUUGUUCGGAUUCAUUGGGCGUAAAGGGUGCGUAGGUGGCGGGGUAAGUCUGGUGUGAAAUCUCGGGGCUCAACCCCGAAACUGCACUUGAUACUGCCGUGCUCGAGUACUGGAGAGGAGAUUGGAAUUUACGGUGUAGCAGUGAAAUGCGUAGAUAUCGUAAGGAAGACCAGUGGCGAAGGCGAAUCGCUGGACAGUGACUGACGCUGAGGCACGAAGGCCAGGGGAGCAAACGGG